CUCUUCACAGCUGAGACAACAGAGAAACUGGACUGAAGGCAAAGCGGCCAGGGAUUGCAAUUUGAGGGGGUAUUGCAAAGGAUUUCUGGGGUGUCAGGCAGCCCAGGGCAGCUCAGCUGUGUGGGUCCCCAUUACCAUUCCCCACCCACCUCCAGGAAAGCAGAGAAGCACUGGGAAGUCUUCCAGAAGGUGACAGAGGUCUUCAUCCUAGUGCCUGCGCUGCUGGGGCUCAAAGGGAACCUGGAAAUGACCCUGGCAUCAAGGCUCUCCACUGCAGCCAACAUUGGACACAUGGACACACCCAAGGAGCUCUGGCGGAUGAUCACUGGGAACAUGGCCCUCAUCCAGGUGCAGGCCACGGUGGUGGGCUUCCUGGCGUCCAUUGCAGCCGUCGUCUUUGGCUGGAUCCCUGAUGGCCACUUCAGUAUUCCGCACGCCUUCCUGCUCUGUGCUAGCAGCGUGGCCACAGCCUUCAUUGCCUCCCUGGUACUGGGUAUGAUCAUGAUUGGAGUCAUCAUUGGCUCUCGCAAGAUUGGGAUCAACCCAGACAACGUGGCCACACCCAUUGCUGCCAGCCUGGGCGACCUCAUCACCUUGGCGCUGCUCUCAGGCAUCAGCUGGGGACUCUACCUGGAACUGAAUCACUGGCGAUACAUCUAUCCACUGGUGUGUGCUUUCUUUGUGGCCCUGCUGCCUGUCUGGGUGGUGCUGGCCCGACGAAGUCCAGCCACAAGGGAGGUGUUGUACUCGGGCUGGGAGCCUGUUAUCAUUGCCAUGGCCAUCAGCAGUGUGGGAGGCCUCAUCUUGGACAAGACUGUCUCAGACCCCAACUUUGCGGGAAUGGCUGUCUUCACGCCUGUGAUUAAUGGUGUUGGGGGCAAUCUGGUGGCAGUGCAGGCCAGCCGCAUCUCCACCUUCCUGCACAUGAAUGGAAUGCCCGGAGAGAACUCUGAGCAAGCUCCUCGCCGCUGUCCCAGUCCUUGCACCACCUUCUUCAGCCCUGAUGUGAAUUCUCGCUCAGCCCGGGUCCUCUUCCUCCUCGUGGUCCCAGGACACCUGGUGUUCCUCUACACCAUCAGCUGUAUGCAGGGCGGGCACACCACCCUCACACUCAUCUUCAUCAUCUUCUAUAUGACAGCUGCACUGCUCCAGGUGCUGAUUCUCCUGUACAUCGCAGACUGGAUGGUGCACUGGAUGUGGGGCCGGGGCCUGGACCCGGACAACUUCUCCAUCCCAUACUUGACUGCUCUGGGGGACCUGCUUGGCACUGGGCUCCUAGCACUCAGCUUCCAUGUCCUCUGGCUCAUAGGGGACCGAGACACGGAUGUUGGGGACUAGCUUGGUCACUCAACCUUUUCCCCAUCCCUCUGCACUUUCUAUUUGAAAUUUUUCUUUUGUUCCCCUGUCCCUACUCCACCCCACACUCCCACCUCUUUCUAGGACUUCACUUUGAUACCAAAUUCUCAUUAUUUUCAAUGGGAAUUUUUAUACAUUGAGCCAAGUUUGUAUAGCAAGAAUUCGGGAAACACAGAUGGCCUGAGAUAAGCAGUACAAGUAGGUUUUUGAGACAAUCACCAAGUGCAGUUUCAUGAUGGGUGCCUCCAGGUGAUGUGGACUGGGGCAGGGGAGUUUUGUCUGGAAUCUGGGGAUAUGGGGUUUGGCUUUAGCAACCUGUCUUGGCCCUAAUGAGAAACCCUUUGUAAGUGGGCUCUGGAUUUUUGGUUUUGUUUUCUUUUUAUCUGUUUUGUUUUAUUUUUGGUUUUGGUUGAACAGAGGGACAGAAGAAUAAGUAACACUCCCAAACACAGACAUACUUUUGUAGAAGUGGACCAACUUCAAAGCUCUGGACAGGAGACAGCUGCUCCAGGCCCCUAUGAUCCCCGCUCUGUUCUCUUGCCCUCUGGACCUAAGUGUUCCCACUCGCAGAAAGAGUAAGGUGGACUGACUUUUCAAUUUGUGCACAUGCCUCUUGUUCAAUGGCCUGAUCAACAUCAACAACCCCUCCCUCUGAUCAUUUCCAGUUGAUUGUAAUAUCCAGGAAAAAAUGGAACAGUGCACUCUUCUCCCUGUUGACCCAUGUCCACCUAUAGGUUCCCCAAAAUCCACAUUCUCCUUGGGCCCAGAGGACUGAUUCUUUGUCUCUCUUCAACCUUCAUCUCAAAUUGUCUCUAAGCACUACCUUCCCCAGAGCUUGCCAGGUUGGGUUUUGAGAUUAGGGACAGGUCAUGGGUAUGUGGAGAAUGGUUUGGAGGUUGAGGACAACCACGGGUGUCUCAUUGCUGCCAUUUCUUCUGAGGACAUAAUCACUUGGUCACCUUGGACCCUGUCACUUCCUAAAAUUACUCAUUCUGUCAUGCCAUAGAGGUCAGUUUUCCUCUUUCUUGGCUUCUGCCCACAGACAUUCACCAAUCAUUUAUUCACUUAUUCAGCAAAUAUGCAGCCUCCGCAAGAUGAGCUCUCCUGCAGACAAGCAUGGUCUGAAACAUUCUUUGAGCAAUAUUUAUUGAAUGCCUACUAUGUGUUAGGUACUGUGCCAGGCACUGAUAAGCCAGUGGUAAGGGAAACACAGCUCUAACCUCACCUCAUUCUCCAGGUUACAAAGGCCAUGUGCCCCUUUCAAUCUGGCAGAGAAAGUUUCCUCGUUGUAAGUAUUUGCAUCUACUUCAAGCCAGAUUCUUCUGCCUCUUUCUCCUUUCCAAACCCCUACUCUGUGCAGUGCUGACCACAGCUAGAGCCACCAUCCCCAUUGCUCAACCAGUAUUUAUUUCCCUAAACGACCCUUCCUCACAUUCCCUUCCUUUCACCUCUCCUCACCAAGCACCCAAAAGAGGGUUUAGAACUAGCAGGGUGGACAUCAUCUGGUUGCUUCUACUUUUCUCUGCCUAGCACAAAAUUGGGAGAAAACUGGAGCCUCCAUCCGCAGUCACACGUGUACAGAUCUGGGGAUUUGGAUGUAGGCUUUUUCUAACUUCUCUCAGAAGCUUCCACAGAAACCCUUCCAUCUGUAGCCUCAAGGGCCCACCUCCAAGGGAAAGCUUAGGCAAUGAUCCUGUUUCUACCAACACCACACCUUAUCCCAGGAACCUGCCCUAGACCUCCAGAGACCAUAGUUUCUCUCCCUCCAUUUCUACCCAGACCUCUAGGCCUCCUUCUGGAAUCAUAGAACCGUAGAAUUGGAAGGAAUUUUAGAGGUUUUCCAGUUGGAGUUGUGUCCAACAGAAUUCAUUAACACCAGCCUGGGCUUGUUUUUCCUCCUCCCCCUGGACUUUUUUCAUCUUUUCCUCCACCUCAAAAGACACUGACACACAGAUUCUUCUUGUACAGGCACCAAAACCAACUCUGCCCCUAAGGCUGUGUCCCUAUGGUCUCCAGCCACCCCUACCCCAGUCACUCGCCCCUUCCUCAUCUCUGGAAUUUGGCCAGGCAGUCCCAGAAGACUCUGGAGCGACCUCCUUUGCCUAAAAAGCAGACAGAUAGGCAUGCCCCAGGCCCUGAGUGUGUGAGCAGAGGAGGACUGUAGGGUGAGAGGGAAAGAAAACAAAGGUGACUUUCAUGGAAGAUUCAUUUCUUUUCCCCAAUUGUACCAACUGCAUGUACUUUUGGCCUGGCUGUAAGGAGCAAUAUUGGUUUACUCUCGUAUCCUUAAAAAGUUACAGAACUGUGUCUUAAGAGAAUUAUUUAUAGUUACUAUAACUGAAUUGACAAAUGUCAACUUAACUGAUAAAUUAUAUUUGGUAAAAUAAAGAGGACGUUUAUUUAG
rnacentral:sRNA from 1 species